AACGAACGCUGGCGGCAGGCCUAACACAUGCAAGUCGAGCGAGCGGCGGACGGGUGAGUAAUGUAUGGGGACUGCCCGAUAGAGGGGGAUAACUACUCGAAACGGUGGCUAAUACCACAUACUAUCGGAUAACCCAUACUGGAUUAGCUAGUGGGUGGGGUAAAGGCUCACCUAGGCGACGAUGUCUAGCUGGUCUGAGAGGUUGAUCGGCCACACUGGGACUGAGACACGGCCCAGACUCCUACGGAGGCAGCAGUGGGGAAUAUUUGACAAUGGGCGCAAGCCUGAGACAGCAAUGCCGCGUGUAUGAAGAAGGCCUUAGGGUUGUAAAGUUCUUUCAGCGGGGAGGCGUUACCCGCAUAGAAAGCACCGGCUAACUCCGUGCCAGCAGCCGCGGUAAUUC
rnacentral:rRNA from 1 species